AUGGACGCUCUCGCGCCCACCCCCACCCGCCGCCGCCUCCUCGCCGGCGCGGCCGCCGCCACCGCCUGCUACGGCCUCUACCGCCUCUACCUCCACCACCGCCGCCGCAUCGCCGCGGCGCUCUCCCUCGCCGACGCGCUCUCGCAGGCCGGCUCCGACCUGGCCGACUUCCUCCGCUCCGACUCCGACCAGGUGCCCCGCAGCCUGCGCCAGCUCUCCAAGCUCGCCGCCUCCGACCACGUCUCCUCCGCCGCCUCGGCGCUCUCCGAGUCGCUCGCCUCGGGGGCCCUCCGCGCCUUCUCCUCCCACCGGGCCCCGGAUCCUUCCUCCCCGCCGCUGCAAGACCGGAUCUUGGACCGCCUCCUCUCCCCCGACGGCGCCGGGUUCGCCUCCGCCGUCCUCGGGAGCUUCGCCAGGAACCUCGUGCUCUCCUGCCGUGAUCCCGAGGCCCGGCCCCGCGCCCCUGGCCAGCCCGACUGGCUCGCCGCGCUGUGCAGCGACAGGGGCAAGGAGGCCGCCGCGGAGCUCGUCCGGGUGUUUGUCAGCACCGCCGUCGCCGCCUACCUCGACGGGACCGCGGCCGUGCGCACCUCCGACCAGGUGCUCGCCGGCUUCUCUAACCCCAAGCACGACGUCAAGCUCAAGGACCUGCUCGUGUCCGUCUGCAACGGCGCCGUCGAGACCUUUGUCAGGACCUCGCGGCAGGUCACAAAGGAGGCCUCCAUUUCUCGGGCUGAAGCAGCAGUGGUGCAAGAGGUCUUUAAUUCAGGUCCUAGCUGUGUAAUGGAGAGAGUAUCGACCACGUUGGCCAUGCCAAGCAACCGGAGGUUUGUGCUGGAUGUCACCGGCAGGGUCACCGCUGAGAUUGUCCGGUCAUUCCUCGAGUUCUCGACUCAGCGGGUGUCGGCUGGUGCACGAAAGAGCAUUGUCGUUGCCCGGGACGAAAUCACUGAAAGGGGUCUUGUCGCCGUGAAGUACCUGAGCGCCAAGUCCAUGGCCAUCUUCACCUUAUGCCUCACAAUGUGCAUGCACAUUUCGGUUGGAAUGAGGUUCCCGUUCCCGGCCUAG
rnacentral:rRNA from 1 species